GGAGUUUGAUCAUGGCUCAGGAUGAACGCUAGCGGCAGGCCUAAUACAUGCAAGUCGAACGGUAAGUCCCGCCUCGGCGGGAACGCGAGUGGCGCACGGGUGCGUAACGCGUAUGCAACCUACCUUUAACAUGGGGAAUAGCCCCGAGAAAUCGGGAUUAAUACCCCAUAAUAAUAAAAUAUGACAUCAUUUUUUAUUUAAAGUUCCGGCGGUUAAAGAUGGGCAUGCGUGACAUUAGUUAGUUAGGUGAGGUAACGGCUCACCAAGGCAACGAUGUCUAGGGGUUCUGUAGAGGAUUAACCCCCACACUGGUACUAGAGACACGGACCAGACUCCUACGGGAGGCAGC
rnacentral:rRNA from 1 species